CUCGUGAAGGAGUCCAAGACUACAGCUUUCUGAGGCCCAGCCUCCUGAAAUGGAAAAUACCAACAAUGGAAAACACCAGGAUUCUGUAUUUAAGAAAAUCACCGCAGGUCGCCCGGUGCUGGUUUAGAAACCAUGGCUUAGGUGGAACCCCUCGAAGAGCACGGAGCAGGAGGCACGCUCGGCAGCGGCUGAGGAGACAGAUGUGCACUAAUGCUUUACAGACCCAGUGCUUGUCACUUGGAACCUGUUCUCGUCACAUCCUUCCCCCUCCCGCCCUCGAGCUGUGUGACUGCCCACAGCACUCAGAUCAUUCCAAGAAGAUUCUUGGGCUGGAAAAGCAACUUCCAAGAAGGUGAGGGUAAUUCUACCUGCCGCCUGCUACUGCGGAAGGUGACCAGAGAAGUCUCCUUUGCUGGCAAAGAUGGAAGGUUUUCUAGUGACUGUGCUUACCUGGCCCUGGGUCGUGGCCGCUGUUGGCAGGGGAGGCAGGUAACGGCCAUCACAGCUGGCACCAGCGUGGGCUGCUCAGACCCCAGGCUGGCCCGGGACAGGAGGCCCAGCAAGGCAAGGCUGCAGGAGAAGCAGCAGCAUCUCAUGGGCCGGAAGUGAUCAAGUGUUCACCACGACUGCAAAGGAACCAAAAGAGAAUAGUUUCGCUGUGUCUACAGAAAGGCCGUGCAUCCUGCCCGCGGCAUUUGCUUGUGGCCACAGCGGUGAGCUCAGCCCGGACCAUGUACAGGGACGGAGCGAGGAGA